GCCGGCCCUCGCCCGCCGCGGCCCUCCCGCCGCCGCCCGCCGCGCCUCACCACGAGACUACGUGACUUCCUAAGAAUGAGCGUUGAAUUGUUUGGGCAGGUUUCCUUCUGGAGGUGAUAAACGUUCAGGGUAACUCCCAGAGCAUAGAGGAGGCAAGCAUGGUGAAGGAGAAUCAGAUGAACACACUCGCUGCAAGGAAUCCUCACCUCCAAAGAGCUUAAAUAUCUUUAGAUGAUAUUUUAGCUAUGUCUUCAUUCCCUGAUAAUGGAGAUGGAAAGAGAACUGCAGUAGUUUCACAUAGAGAGGUCACUUUUGGGGAGGAGACAUGACAGGUAGAGUUGAUCAACCCUGCUUGGAUCUGGGAAGAAUACGUAGCAUGAAAAUGAAGAAGGUGGAAAUGAGAAAUUCAGUUUGGCAGCGUAGCUCAGAGUUGCACGAGGCUAUUCUGCUUGUAAGAUCCCAGUGGGAUUCCCCUCGAUAAAAAUAAUUAAAGUGUGCACUGACCAGUACGUGUCACACAAUUCUCUUCACUACCACCUAGCGGGAAACUCCUUCAUUAACUGAGCUCCAGUGCUGCCCCUGCUCUCCAGCCUCACCCUGGUGAGGGAAACGGAGUAAGCAAAGAAGGGGGAGAUGGAUGAAUGAGAAGGAGGAGCAAGUCCUGCUUCCUGUACAGGAAGAGUGUAGAGAUAACAUUGCUAAUAUGUAGAGAUUGCAGCCUAUAAUUUAUACCCCUAAGGUCGGUGCGCUAUCACACCUUGCCUUCUAGCUCUGCAUCCAGUGCAGUUCUUAAUGGCUAGUACACUGUAGCCCUUGCUCCCCGGGGAGAUUCCUAAAGCUUAACAAAUGUCAUCUUUGCAGAUGGAGGAGUAAAACAUUUGUUCUUCUGAAUGCAACUGCACCCUGCAAAGAGCAGGAAGGAGAAAUGGGGGAAGGUGUUCUAGUGUCUGAAUCAGAAGGCAGGCUUGCCUUCUUCUCACCUCUCUCUUCAUCACUCUAAUGAUGAUUGUUCUAUCGAGGUCGGGGAAGAAGGCUACCAAGUAAAAACACUUAGCCCUUCUGUCAGGACAUAUUUGCUAUUAUAAUCACAUGUUUACAACAAGGACUACUACAUGAAAGUGUAAAAUGGGUAUGCAUUAAGAAUAUUUUAAUCACAUAUUCAAGUGAGUCCUUCCCUGCUGCGAUACUCGGAGUUUGCACAAACAGCUGAAAUCCAACCCUAUGAAAACAACAUACAAAUGACAAUUAUCUGGAAUUUUUCAGUCUCUUGCAUGCCACCUGGGACUGAGCUUCCAGGGCACAAAUAAUAAUCAGUUUUGGCACUUGUAUAGCUUUCUUUUAUCCAGUCAUAGAAAUAGGGGCAAACACGAUAACAGUAAUUCUCACAUUUUAAGGAGGGGGUGAUGUUAAUGUCAUUCAGGCCAAUAAAGCAUUUGGCAUUCUCAGCAGGAAGAACUGUAAAAUGGCAAGGAAUUAUUAAAGGAACCACUUCUAAAUAUUUCUUUUGCCAAUGGCAAUUUUAUCACCAUAUUCAUGGAACUAUAUAGGCUUCCUUUGCUAGGAACUGUAAUAUGAAAAUAUUUAGGUUUUUUUCUUUCUUCUCUGCACGUUCCUUGAAGUCAUGACAUUAGGCUCACUUUAUCGUAGGAAAUUACUAUAUUUUUCAAUAUGUAUACUUGAUGAUGGAUGUAAUUCAAUAAAUGAAGACAUUUAGAGUAACAAUUAUAUUGAUACAAGAGUCAGACUUUGGGAACCUAUAAUCCACCUGCAGUCCCAUUCACAUUACGCUGUUGUGCGACUAUUCAGCUGGUUUUGUUUUCAUGUAAUAAGCAGAAUGCAGACCAAUAUAUCUAAAAUAAGAAUAGUGUUCCUAUUAUAUACCCAUUUAUACUUUCUCAGAGUGGACCUCAUUAUUAAUUAAUCCACAGUUCAGCUACCUUAUUAAACGUUCUUGGGAGAAAGCAUUACAUUGGAACAAUUUACCAAGGCAGACUUACUAUUAAUCAAUGAAAUAGAGUAAAAUAGAGGAACAGAAGGCAUCUUUGCCUGGAAGCGAUUGGAGAAUGGCAACAACCCAGUUUUAUGAGAUAGCUGUCACACAGUGUUAUCGGACUUCCUACUACUUGAAGGGAAGUGAAGAAAAUUAUAACCAAAAGUAAAAUGCACAGACAUUGUAUUAAAAAGCGUAGGUAGCACAAUGCGAAGUAGUUGAACAUGUUUAAAUAAUCUUUAUUAAGCAAGCCACUAAAAUAGAAAACCUAUAAAGCUCAGAAGCUCAGACUCCUCAAGUGUGAUUACUAAUUGAUAUAUUUCUCCAAUUUGCAUCCAAACUGCUUUGGUAAUAAAACAUUUUUCCUGAGCUUUCUGUUAAACUUACCAAUUUGUUGUAAAGCUGCUGAUGUCUUGCUAUGGACAUAUUGAAUUUGAGGGGUCUCAACCACCAAACUGGUUAUGCUUGGAAAAAUAAAUUUGCAGGUGAAAAAAAAAAAAAAGAAUACAUAACCGGAUACUGCAGACCGACAUGAGAAGCAGGUAGGUAUCACUUGGGGCUUUCAUACUUCGAAAACUUCCUCUCUAUUACAGCUACCAACAUCGCAUUUUUCAGGGUGACUUCAGACAUGCACCAGGAAGUUUUCGCAAGUAAGAAAAUCAACAAAACCAACUGAUAUUGAAUGAAAAUGGGUAUAGCAAAACCAAGUCUUUUUCUUUUGAACGCUCCUUCUCAAGACAAAAUCCACAAGGCACAAUUUGGUUAUAGGAGUAUAUCGUUUGGAUUAUGGUACUCUAGAAUUUAGCUCCUGCUCUAGUACUAGAGCUACAAUCCAGGUGCUUAAAGCUUUGCAGCUUCCACCCCUGACUUCCACUACCCUUAUUACCUCGCAGCAGGACAGUGUGGCAAUUGUAAUAAUCUGAGAAAUUUGAGAUUGCAGUCCUCAGUGCCAACAUAUAAAACAGGGCUGCUGGUUAAUUCGUAGCAGUGGUCUCCUUCCUGCAUCUCAGUUGUUCCUUCUGAUAGCUAGCGAUUUGUAACAUCUGAGAAACACUUGUUUUCUUGCGUGAAAGAAUCUGAAUU